UCCUUAGGUCGGGGACAACAGAAGGAAACUUCUGCUAAUCCCGGAUGAGCCGUGAGGUAAAAGAGAAAUUGCCUGGAGAUGAGCUCGCGUCUGAUUAGCUAGUUGGUGGGGUAAAAGCGUACCAAGGCAACGAUCAGUAGCUGGUCUGAGAGGAUGAGCAGCCACACUGGGACUGAGACACGGCCCAGACUCCUACGGGAGGCAGCAGUGGGGAAUUUUCCGCAAUGGGCGAAAGCCUGACGGAGCAAGACCGCGUGGGGGAGGAAGGCUCUAGGGUUGUAAACCCCUUUUCUUUGGGAAGAACAAAAUGACGGUACCAAAGGAAUCAGCCUCGGCUAACUCCGUGCCAGCAGCCGCGGUAAUACGGAGGAGGCAAGCGUUAUCCGGAAUGAUUGGGCGUAAAGCGUCCGCAGGUGGCCAUGUAAGUCUGCUGUCAAAACCCAGGGCUCAACUCUGGUCAGGCAGUGGAAACUACAAAGCUAGAGUCUGGUAGGGGCAAAGGGAAUUCCCGGCGUANCGGUGAAAUGCGUANAUUUCGGGAAGAACAUCGGUGGCGAAAGCGCUUUGCUAGACCAGAACUGACACUCAGGGACGAAAGCUAGGGGAGCGAAUGGGAUUAGAUAC
rnacentral:rRNA from 1 species